UACGUAGGGGGCAAGCGUUAUCCGGAUUCACUGGGUGUAAAGGGAGCGUAGACGGCCAUGCAAGCCUGGAGUGAAAGCCUGGGGCCCAACCCCGGGACUGCUCUGGGAACUGUGCGGCUGGAGUGCGGGAGGGGCAGGCGGAAUUCCUGGUGUAGCGGUGAAAUGCGUAGAUAUCAGGAGGAACACCGGCGGCGAAGGCGGCCUGCUGGACCACGACUGACGUUGAGGCUCGAAAGCGUGGGGAGCAAACAGG
rnacentral:rRNA from 1 species